UGUUACCCUUAUGUUUUUUUUCAUGACGACCAAUAAAAAAUAACAGUGUUACCCCUUAUGUUUUUUUUCAUGACGACCAAUAAAAAACAACAUUGUUACCCCUUAUGUUUUUUUUCAUGACGACCAAUAAAAAACAACAGUGUUACCCCUUAUGGUUUUUUUUCAUGACGACGAAAGAAAAACGACAGUGUCACCCCUUAUGUUUUUUUCAUUGACGACCAAUAAAAAACAACAGUUGUUACCCCUUAUGUUUAUUUUCAUGACGACCAAUAAAAAACAACAGUGUUACCCCUUAUGGUUUUUUUCAUGACGACCAAUAAAAAACAACGGUGUUACCCCUUAUGUUUUUUUUCAUGACGACCAAUAAAAAACAACAGUGUUACCCCUUAUGUUUUUUUUCAUGACGACCAAUAAAAAACAACAGUGUUACCCCUUAUGUUUUUUUUCAUGACGACCAAUAAAAAACAACACUGUUACCCCUUAUGUUUUUUUUCAUGACGACCAAUAAAAAACAACACUGUUACCCCUUAUGGUUUUUUUCAUGACGACCAAUAAAAAACAACAGUGUUACCCCUUAUGUUUUUUUUCAUGACGACCAAUAAAAAACAACAGUGUUUCCCCUUAUGUUUUUUUUCAUGACGACCAAUAAAAAACAACAGUGUUACCCCUUAUGUUAUUUUUCAUGACGACCAAUAAAAAACAACAGUGUUACCCCUUAUGUUUUUUUUCAUGACGACCAAUAAAAAACAACAGUGUUACCCCUUAUGUUUUUUUUCAUGACGACCAAUAAAAAACGACAGUGUUACCCCUUAUGGGUUUUUUCAUGACGACCAAAGAAAAACAACAGUGUUCCCCUACGAAUCACUGCCAGAGACCGCACUGCGAGUGAUUGACAGAAGGCAGGGCUAUAUUCGCACUGAAGCGAUGAGUGUCUGUUAACUCGCUUUCCGAGAGAAGAGAAGACAGCGCGCUGACAUACUUCUAUUUUGUGUGAUUUUGCGGAACAAAAGGUUGUUCUGCAGUUUCUAAAAACAUUUGAAUAAAUAGCCUUUAUAUUAACAUCCACCCAAAAUCCACUUGCCCGUUCGGGCAACCAGAAAAAAUCUCAACUUGCCCAAACAUUUUUUUUACUUGCCCCGGGCAAGCGGGCAACCGUAAGUGUCAUUGGCUGAACUAUAUAUUGCAUCCAUCUCUACUCCGUCUCUACUCUCACCCGAGGGAAUCCCGUGAUGUUUGUGAUUGAAGUCUCAAUGAUCUGAAUAAACUUGCCCAGAGCUCCAUAUCCAGCCUGGGUGGUUGUUAGUGUGUGCUGUGAUGAUGAAAUCAUUUAAAACUGAUCUGUUCUGUAGAGGCCUUCUGAUAUAUUGACUCAACAUCACCCUCCAAAGCAUUCUGCCAAACAACUUAUGAACCAUUUAACCCAUAAUGCCCACUCAAAAACAUCCUAGAAAGUACAAAAAUAGAUAUAUCUGGCCCUGAGAGACAACAGCUUUGGUUAAACAUUAUGUAUUUACACAUCAUUCAGGGUCGCACACCGGUGAGCUAUGAAGCGCCCAUGUACUUUAUAUGCACAGUAAAAGUAAAUUAAUACAAGAUGGAGGCUUUUUCUCAUUAGAAAAAACAUUCACAUGUCCUUUAAAAAAAACAACUGAUUGUUUGUUAAAAAGAAAGGAAGAAAGUGUUAAAAAUAGAGACAUAAUUGCCCAUUUCAUUUCACCACAUUUGUCCGUUAAACAAAUCAACCUGAAGAAUCUCCCUGGGGGGCCUCUUCAGUUUUCCUUCUAUUUACACAUUUACACACAAGCCCCCCCCCCAAGGGGGGACCGGGGAUCCAGCUACCCCCCUCCCGGUCUCCCUCCC
ensembl:lncRNA